CCUACGGGAGGCAGCAGUGAGGAAUAUUGGUCAAUGGACGGAAGUCUGAACCAGCCAUGCCGCGUGCAGGAAGACGGCUCUAUGAGUUGUAAACUGCUGUUGUACAAGGGUAAACCUGAAUGCGUGUAUUCAGCUGAGAGUACUGUACUAAUAAGGAUCGGCUAACUCCGUGCCAGCAGACGCGGUAAUACGGAGGCUCCAAGCGUUAUCCGGAUUUAUUGGGUUUAAAGGGUGCGUAGGCGGAUUGAUAAGUUAGAGGUGAAAUGUCCGAGCCUAACUCGUGAACUGCCUCUAAUACUGUUGAGCGAGAGAGUAGGUGCGGUAGGCGGAAUGUAUGGUGUAGCGGUGAAAUGCUUAGAGAUCAUACAGAACACCGAUUGCGAAGGCAGCUUACUAAUCUAUAUCUGACGUUGAGGCACGAAAGCGUGGGGAGCAAACAGGAUUAGAUACCCUUGUAGUC
rnacentral:rRNA from 1 species